rnacentral:sRNA from 1 species
UUGCUAUCUGCGAUAUGGAAGAUUCGACCCUGCCGCAGGUUCGGGUCUCACGUAGUGAGACAACGGAGCCGCUUGCGGCGCCGGCCCGAAGGGCGAGCAAAGCGAGUCAUCCUGCACGACCCACCA